CACUCCCAGGAUGAAUAAAGAAAACAAAAGAAGAAAAAGAAGUGGGUGAAGAGGGAAAAGAUCCAAGUGGGACAAUUCUUUGCAAAAGGGAGGGAGAAGAGUUGAAUUCGCUGAUUUUUUUCCUCUCUAUUUCUCCUUCUUCAAAAAAGUGUACAAAUUCUUCAAAAAUGGGGAAGGAAAAUAGAAUUGUUACAUUUAACCGAUUUAAACAAUUUAAAAGGAAAGA
rnacentral:RNase_P_RNA from 13 species